rnacentral:rRNA from 1 species
UCAAGUGAAGAAGCGCAUACGGUGGAUGCCUUGGCAGUCAGAGGCGAUGAAAGACGUGGUAGCCUGCGAAAAGCUUCGGGGAGUCGGCAAACAGACUUUGAUCCGGAGAUCUCUGAAUGGGGGAACCCACCUAGGAUAACCUAGGUAUCUUGUACUGAAUCCAUAGGUGCAAGAGGCGAACCAGGGGAACUGAAACAUCUAAGUACCCUGAGGAAAAGAAAUCAACCGAGAUUCCCUUAGUAGUGGCGAGCGAACGGGGAUUAGCCCUUAAGCUUCAUUGAUUUUAGCGGAACGCUCUGGAAAGUGCGGCCAUAGUGGGUGAUAGCCCCGUACGCGAAAGGAUCUUUGAAGUGAAAUCGAGUAGGACGGAGCACGAGAAACUUUGUCUGAACAUGGGGACCUUCCUCCAAGGCUAAAUACUACUGACUGACCGAUAGUGAACCAGUACCGUGAGGGAAAGGCGAAAAGAACCCCGGAGAGGGGAGUGAAAUAGAACCUGAAACCGUAUGCGUACAAGCAGUGGGAGCCUACUUGUUAGGUGACUGCGUACCUUUUGUAUAAUGGGUCAGCGACUUAUAUUCAGUGGCAAGCUUAACCGUAUAGGGUAGGCGUAGCGAAAGCGAGUCUUAAUAGGGCGUUUAGUCGCUGGGUAUAGACCCGAAACCGGGCGAUCUAUCCAUGAGCAGGUUGAAGGUUAGGUAACACUGACUGGAGGACCGAACCCACUCCCGUUGAAAAGGUAGGGGAUGACUUGUGGAUCGGAGUGAAAGGCUAAUCAAGCUCGGAGAUAGCUGGUUCUCCUCGAAAGCUAUUUAGGUAGCGCCUCAUGUAUAACACUGGGCGGUAGAGCACUGAUUAGGCUAAGGGGUCAUCCCGACUUACCAAACCGAUGCAAACUCCGAAUACCCAGAAGUGCCGAGCAUGGGAGACACACGGCGGGUGCUAACGUCCGUCGUGAAAAGGGAAACAACCCAGACCGCCAGCUAAGGUCCCAAAGUUGUGGUUAAGUGGUAAACGAUGUGGGAAGGCUUAGACAGCUAGGAGGUUGGCUUAGAAGCAGCCAUCCUUUAAAGAAAGCGUAAUAGCUCACUAGUCGAGUCGGCCUGCGCGGAAGAUGUAACGGGGCUCAAACCACACACCGAAGCUGCGGGUGUCACGUAAGUGACGCGGUAGAGGAGCGUUCUGUAAGCCUGUGAAGGUGAGUUGAGAAGCUUGCUGGAGGUAUCAGAAGUGCGAAUGCUGACAUGAGUAACGACAAUGGGUGUGAAAAACACCCACGCCGAAAGACCAAGGGUUCCUGCGCAACGUUAAUCGACGCAGGGUUAGUCGGUUCCUAAGGCGAGGCUGAAAAGCGUAGUCGAUGGGAAACAGGUUAAUAUUCCUGUACUUCUGGUUACUGCGAUGGAGGGACGGAGAAGGCUAGGCCAGCUUGGCGUUGGUUGUCCAAGUUUAAGGUGGUAGGCUGAAAUCUUAGGUAAAUCCGGGGUUUCAAGGCCGAGAGCUGAUGACGAGUCGUCUUUUAGAUGACGAAGUGGUUGAUGCCAUGCUUCCAAGAAAAGCUUCUAAGCUUCAGGUAACCAGGAACCGUACCCCAAACCGACACAGGUGGUCGGGUAGAGAAUACCAAGGCGCUUGAGAGAACUCGGGUGAAGGAACUAGGCAAAAUGGCACCGUAACUUCGGGAGAAGGUGCGCCGGCUAGGUGAAGGAUUUACUCCGUAAGCUCUGGCUGGUCGAAGAUACCAGGCCGCUGCGACUGUUUAUUAAAACACAGCACUCUGCAAACACGAAAGUGGACGUAUAGGGUGUGACGCCUGCCCGGUGCCGGAAGGUUAAUUGAUGGGGUUAGCGCAAGCGAAGCUCUUGAUCGAAGCCCCGGUAAACGGCGGCCGUAACUAUAACGGUCCUAAGGUAGCGAAAUUCCUUGUCGGGUAAGUUCCGACCUGCACGAAUGGCGUAACGAUGGCGGCGCUGUCUCCACCCGAGACUCAGUGAAAUUGAAAUCGCUGUGAAGAUGCAGUGUAUCCGCGGCUAGACGGAAAGACCCCGUGAACCUUUACUGUAGCUUUGCACUGGACUUUGAGCCUGCUUGUGUAGGAUAGGUGGGAGGCUUUGAAGCGUGGACGCCAGUUCGCGUGGAGCCAUCCUUGAAAUACCACCCUGGCAUGCUUGAGGUUCUAACUCUGGUCCGUAAUCCGGAUCGAGGACAGUGUAUGGUGGGCAGUUUGACUGGGGCGGUCUCCUCCUAAAGAGUAACGGAGGAGUACGAAGGUGCGCUCAGACCGGUCGGAAAUCGGUCGUAGAGUAUAAAGGCAAAAGCGCGCUUGACUGCGAGACAGACACGUCGAGCAGGUACGAAAGUAGGUCUUAGUGAUCCGGUGGUUCUGUAUGGAAGGGCCAUCGCUCAACGGAUAAAAGGUACUCCGGGGAUAACAGGCUGAUACCGCCCAAGAGUUCAUAUCGACGGCGGUGUUUGGCACCUCGAUGUCGGCUCAUCACAUCCUGGGGCUGAAGCCGGUCCCAAGGGUAUGGCUGUUCGCCAUUUAAAGUGGUACGCGAGCUGGGUUUAGAACGUCGUGAGACAGUUCGGUCCCUAUCUGCCGUGGACGUUUGAGAUUUGAGAGGGGCUGCUCCUAGUACGAGAGGACCGGAGUGGACGAACCUCUGGUGUUCCGGUUGUCACGCCAGUGGCAUUGCCGGGUAGCUAUGUUCGGAAAAGAUAACCGCUGAAAGCAUCUAAGCGGGAAACUUGCCUCAAGAUGAGAUCUCACUGGGAACUUGAUUCCCCUGAAGGGCCGUCGAAGACUACGACGUUGAUAGGCUGGGUGUGUAAGCGUUGUGAGGCGUUGAGCUAACCAGUACUAAUUGCCCGUGAGGCUUGACCAU